rnacentral:lncRNA from 1 species
CCAACUCUAAAACAGGCAAAUAUUAGUCCCUUAACUUCUCAAGGAUUAGUCCCUUCACAUGCAAAAGCGGUUUUCAUGCUGACUUGGCAUGGUUUUGACCGGUCGUCACCUAUGUGGCAGUCUUCUUCUCCCUUCUCAUUGUAACUUAGCUGGACAUUUCGUCGAGCAGUGGGCGCACACUGAGCAAUAGGAGAAGGAGGUAGACGUGGAGCUUGUGUGGUUCACGGCGGUGCAUGCAAAAGGUGCAGACAGCUGGGGAGCUGUGGCACUACGAGGCUCACUAGCAGCAGGGAAACACGCAGCAGAUUGGCCUUGGCGUAGGCGAGCUCCUAACACGGCGAAGUGCUGCUCGUGUUGCCAUCCUGGUGCUCAUGGUAUGCCUCCGCCAUUGCUGGCCACGGCGCCGAUGAUGUCUCUGCGUCGCCUUGAGCCUAUAUCACAAACAUGCGUUGCCCCAGGUUGUCUAGCGCUCUUCCUCCUCCAGUGCACGUGGUUUCCAUGCUCGGAGCUGGGGGCAAUCACACCGUCUUGGCGUCACUGCGGGAGGUCCCUCGGGUGGCAUCGUGGUCCAUGGCGAUGCCGGGUGCAUGUCUUCUCCUCCCUUUGGGACGCCGACGCGGUGGUCACCGGAGUCUGGCUCAGUGGCACGGAGCGCCCCUGUCGCAGCAUGCCUGAUGUAGGGUAGAACCCUAGGAAGGACCUUUUCACACUUGGAGGGAAAAAAUGGAGAUAAAUCACAAGAACACAAGGAUGAACACAAAGGGACAAUCACUCCAACAAUUCCCGAUUACACAUCCACUAGAGUAACAACACAAGAUCCACAAGUCUCAAACACAAUCAAAGGAAAGAUACAAUGGCAAAGUUCAUCCCAAAUCCAAAGGAAGAGGGGUCUUGGUGGUAGUCUUCUCCCAAUGGAGGUCUUGAAAUCCUCAAGGAUUCUUCCCUAAUGGGGUCUUGAUCCUCAAAGAGGGAAGGUAAUGGAGCAAAGCUCACCAAGAUAUCAUCCAAUACUUUGCUAACCCUAAACAUGGCCCUAGGUACGAAUUAUAUAGGCUUGGGGUCGAAGGAGACGAAGGGGAGUCGGAGAUCCCAUCUCAGCCGGCCAUCCUGGGAGGCCCGUGCGCACGGGGGUCCCGUGGGCACGGUACAUGCCCGUGCACACGGGGUGCUCCAGCGCCGGGUUCCUGUGUAGCCCGUGGACACGGGGUCUCUGGGGCCCGUGCGCACGGGGUCACCUGGGACUUGCUGUUUUGCUGCGGUUGCACUCCGUCUUGAUCCUCAUGGCCUUGGGGUGGUUCUCCUUCUUCUUGGGGAUGCUCCUGAGCUCCUUGGUGAUGUUCCACUUCAUACCUAAGGAUGCAUAGCAUAUUUUGGUGAGGUAGUAUACAUGUUCCAUUUGUGUCCAUAUGCAAGUCUAGUAGGAAGGAGUUCACCUCGGUUUCCAAAGCACGUGCUCUAGCUCUUGUCAUGGGUCCUUGUGGGGGUGGAUGUGUUGAUGUAGAGUCCAUGGGGAUGAUGGAAGGAUGCUCCGCAUCAUCUCCCCUCCCUUCGAAAGGAUCCGACCUCGGAUCAAGAUCUUCAUCACCAUGGAAAGGCGAGAGGUCUUUGACGUUGAAGAUGUCGCUCACGUUGUACUUGUCUCGUGGGAGUUCAAUCUUGUAGGCGUUGUUGUUGUAGCGUGCUAGCACCUUGAAUGGUCCAUCGGCUCGAGGUAGUAGUUUGGACUUGCGUUCGUUGGGGAAGCGGUCCUUGCGAAGGUGUAGCCACACGAGGUCACCUAUGUUGAAGAUCAUGGGUUGUUUGUUGACGUUGAGCUUGGUGGCUAGUCGAUGUACGUGGCGCUCGAUGAUGUUUCUUGUAUCUUCAUGCAUCUUCUUGAUUUAGCUUGCUCGUGCACUCGCAUCCAUGUUGGUGCGCUCUUGUAGAGGGAGAGGUAGAAUGUCCAAUGGGGACAACGGGUUGAAGCCGUAGACGACCUCGAAGGGGGACUUGCCGGUAGUCGAAUGUCUUGCGCGGUUGUAGGCGUACUCGGUGAUGGGUAGACACGCCUCCCACUCCUUGAUGUUCUUCUUGAUCAAGACGCGAAGUAGAGUGGAUAGUGUCCGGUUUGUCACCUCCGUUUGGCCGUCGGUUUGAGGAUGGUAUGCGGAUGAGAACAAUAGCUUGAUUCCGAGCUUGGCGCAUAGAGUCUUCCAAAAGUAACUCAAGAACUUGACGUCGCGGUCGGAGACGAUUGUCUUUGGUACUCCAUGGAGGCGCAAGAUUUCCCUACAAAAGAGAUUUGCAAUAUGUGAAGCAUCGUCUAUCUUGUUGCAAGGAAUAAAAUGUGCCAUCUUAGAAAAUCGGUCCACAAUAACAAACACGGAAUCCUUUCCAUUUUGAGUUUGAGGCAAACCAAGUACAAAAUCCAUACUAAUGUCUUCCCAAGGUUGAUAAGGAAUAGGAAGAGGCAUGUAAAGACCAUGAGAUUGAGCUUUAGACUUAGCUUUGCGACAUGUAGAGCAUCGGGUGGUGAAGCGUGAGACGUCGCGGAACAUCUUGGGCCAAAAGUAGUUCUUGGAGAGCGUGGCGAAAGUCUUGUCGCGUCCAAAGUGUCCCAUGAGUCCGCCUCCAUGAGCCUCUUGCAAAAGGAGCAAACGAAGAGAAGACUCGGGAAUGCAUAGUUUGUUAGCUCUCAUAAGAUAACCAUCCUUGAUGUAAUAUUAUUCCCAAGAUGUAUGCAUCAAACAUUUAGCAUAAUGAGGUGCAAAAGAUGGAUCAUUAGCAUACAAGUCUUUUAUGUGCUCAAAGCCAAUAACAUUCAACUCAAGUUUAGUGACGAGCGUGCAUAUGCGUGAAAGUGCAUCGACGACUACAUUUUCCUUACCCUUAAUGUACUUGAUCACAUACGGGAAAGAUUCAAUAAAUUCACUCCAUUUGGCAUGACGCCUAUUCAACUUAGUUUGUCCUUUUAGGUAUUUAAGUGUUUCAUGAUCGGUAUGUAUGACAAACUCAUGAGGUCUAAGAUAAUGUUCCCAAACAUGUAGGACAUGCACUAAAGCAUACAAUUCUUUGUCAUAGAUGGGAUUGUUAAGUUGAGCACCGGAGAGUUUUUCACUAAAGUAUGCAAUUGCUCGUUUUUCUUGCAUUAAAACUCCGCCAAUUCCGGUACCACUUGCAUCACAAUGAACCUCAAAAGUUUUGUCAAAGUUGGGCAAAGCAAGAAUCGGAGCAUGAGUAAGCAAAGACUUGAGCUCAUCAAAAGCGGUUGAUUGCAAAGAUCCCCAAACAAAAGGAGUAUUCUUCUUACUCAAAGCAUGCAAAGGAGCGGCGAUUGUGCUAAAGUUUUUCACAAAGCGGCGAUAAAAUCCUGCAAGACCAAGAAAACUUCGCACUUGUUGCAAAUUGGUGGGUUGAGGCCAAGUUUUAAUUGCUUCAAUUUUAGCUUCAUCAACAUGGACACCCUUGGAAGAGACAACAAAACCCAAGAAAACCACUUUGUCAACGCCAAAAGUGCAUUUUUUUAAGUUUGCAUAAAGGCUUUCCUUGCGAAGAGUUUGCAACACAGAUUUAACAUGAUUAAUAUGCUCUUUCAUGGUUUUGCUAAACACAAGGAUAUCAUCAAAGUAAACCACAACGAAGACUCCAAUGUAAGGUCUAAGCACAUGAUGCAUAAGACGCACGAAAGUUCCGGGUGCUUCCGACAAACCCAUAGGCAUCACUAACCACUCAUAUAAGCCAAAUUUGGUUUUGAAAGCAGUUUUCCAUUCAUCACCUUCUUGAAUGCGAAUUUGAUAAUAGCCACUUUUAAGAUCAAUUUCUGAGAAAAAGUUGGCUCCACUAAGUUCAUCAAGCAUAUCAUCUAAGCGAGGAAUGGGAUGCCUAUAUCAAACGGUAAUAGCAUUUAUAGGUCUACAACCGGAACACAAGCGGAAACUUCCAUCGGUUUUAGGCACAAGUAUAACGGGAACGGCACAAGGGUUUAAGCUUUCACGUACAUGACCGUUGUCGAUUAGUUGUUGUACUUGCCGUUGAAUCUCCUUGGUUUCUUCGGGGUUGACACGGUAUGGAGCUUUGUUUGAAAGUGGUGCUCCGGGGAUGAGGUCGAUUCGAUGCUCAAUGCCUCGUAGUGGAGGUAGACCCGGAGGUAGCUCAUCGGGGAAAACAUCGUGGAAUUCCUGCAAAAGAGAUUGAAACACUAAAGGUAGCUCGUGAGAAGUGUUAGUUGUUGGCUCUCCAUCCUUGCACACAAGGACAAAGUGCAUCACACUCGAUGGGUUCUCACACACUUCUCUCAUCUCACUUUUGGUGGCAAAUAGGAUGAGGUUUUUCUCUCUAGGCGAAGAGGCGCUCAAGUUUGGCUUGUGGCUCUCACUCACUUUUGGGUGGGUCACUUUCUCACUCUUCUCUCCAUGGUGGGUGGCUUGCUUGUCGGCUAUCACUUGACUAGGAGACAUAGGUCGUAGCACAUACUCCUUCCCUUUCAUCUUGAAACUAUAGUGAUUGGUUCGCCCAUUGUGGAUGACACCACGGUCGAAUUGCCACGGUCGACCAAGAAGGAGGUGGCAAACGGUCAUUGGGACCACAUCACACUCCAAAGUGUCCUCAUAUGCACCGAUUUUGAAGGAGACUUGGACCGUAUGCUCAACUCGUAUAGUGCCGGAGUCACUUAGCCAUUGAACCUUGUAGGGGUGCGGGUGCUUCCUCUUGACCAAUUGAAGCUUUGAACAUAGUUCUUCACUUGCCAAGUUGUGGCAACUACCUCCAUCGAUGAUGACCUUGACUGACCUUCCAUUGAUGCCGGCUUUAGUGUGGAAGAUGUGGCAUCGUUGGUCUUCUUCUUGUUGAUGUUGAAGUGUCAAGACUUUGGAGACAAGGAGAGCGGGGCUCGAAUCCUCAUCACAAAAGACUUGAUCAUCUUCAUCCUCAUUCACGCUCCGGUGCAUGGCCACUUGCUCAAUAGCUUCCAUUUCAUCUUCACUCGUUGAGUCGUAGGUGCCAUCGUCGUUGAGGAUCAUGGUGCGCUUGUUGAUGCAUUGGAAGGCUUUGUGGCCUCGGCCGCCACAAGUGAAACACUUGAAGGAGCUUGUCUUGACGGUCUCAUCGGUCGGAGUAGAGGAAGAAGCACGCGGCUUGUAGUUGCUUGUAGUAGGAGGAAGGCGACUUGAACUUGACGAAGGAUUCUUGUAUGAUGUCUUUUCGUUGUUGCUUGGAGAAGGCUUGGUUGACGUAGAUGUUGGAGGAGUUGUUGAAGCUUGAUUGUUGGAGAAGCCAUAUGUCUUGGAGGAGCACUUGACGUACUUGAAAUCAUCUUGUACUUGACGUUCCGCCUUGGUCGCUUGAUGUACUAGCUCGAUGAGGUUGGAGUAGGGUUGGAAGUCGGCGAUCUUCUUGAUGGGGUGAUUGAGCCCAUUCAAGAAUCGUGCCAUUGUUUGCUCAUCAUCUUCCUUGACAUUGGCUCGAAUCAUGGCUAUCUCCAUUUCCUUGUAGUAUUCUUCAACACUCUUUGUUCCUUGCUUGAGGAGUUGUAGCUUCUUGAAGAGAUCACGGUUGUAGUAGGUGGGCACAAAUCGUGCUCUCAUGACAUCCUUCAUUUGAUCCCAAGUGGUGAUUGGAGGGUCACCUCUUGCUUCUUGGCGCUCAAGGACUUGUUCCCAUCAUAUGAGCACAUAGUCUUGGAACUCAAGUGAUGCCAUUGCGAUCUUCUUCUUUUCCUCAUAGUUGUGCAAACGAAAGAUUUUGUCGACCUUCAAUGCCCAUGAGAGAUAUUCUUCCGGAUCAUUGCUUCCAUUGAACUUGGGCAUUGUGAAUUUGAGUUUUCCGUAUCGUUGCUCUUCAUCUUGAUAGCGGUUGCGGUAGCGCUCUUGCCUUGGAAAGUCCUCGAAUGCUCGUUCCUCAUGAUGUCGCUCUUGGUGUUGAGGAGGGUCUUGGAGCACUUGUUCCACUUGGUGUCGCUCUUGUUGCACUUGAGGUUGAGGUGGAGCUUGACGAACUUGGGGAGGAGCUUGAGGAACUUGACGGUGCACACGUGGUUGAUAGUUCCUCUCUUGUAUUUCUUCUCGAAGAGCUUCCUCUUGAUUCCGCCGUUCGCGAUUGCGGUUGGCGAUGGCUCGACUUGAUUCUUGAAGGGCACGUUCCGCCUCAAUAGCUUGUGCUUCUCGUUGUUGUUGUUGAAGACGUUGAGCCUCGGCGUCUUGUUUCUCUUGGUGUAGACGCGCUCGUUCUUCUUCUUCUUGACGACGAAGACGUUGUCGUUCUUGAGCUUGAGCAAAAGCGACUUGAUUUGCUUGAGGACGAUGGACUUGUUCAUCAACUUGCUCUUGGGAAUGUUUGUCGUGUAGUGGAUCUCGAGAUGCAUGACGGUCUUGACGCGCGGCUCGUCGAAGUAUGGUCGAUGACGGUGUACUUGAGCCGGAGGAGGUGUCGUCGGAGUGUCGACUUGAAUGGCUCCGUCUUGAGUAGGAAGAAGUUCAAGAAUGCCGGUUGACCAACAAAGCUCGGAUCUCGUCCAUUCUUGCAUCGUUCUCUUGCUUGUGCGCGUCGAGCUUGCUGUCGAAGUAGUCACGUGUUCGUUGCUCGGAGAGUCGUAAGUCGGUGGCGAGGUUGUCGAUGCGGUCGUUCAUAGCUUGUUGCUCUUGAUGGAGCGCUCGUUGUGCACCAAAGAGGUGGCUCUUGGUGACGAAGGAUGACAUGUCGUCGUCUUGCUCGAUGAAGAGUGGGUUGGUAGAGGAGCUUGGCCUAUCCAUCAUAAGAAAGUGGUGGUGAGUAGGAAAAUGAGAGAACAAAACCAAAGUUACCUUUUCCGAAGAUUGUGGAUGUAACAAGUACGAUCCCACGUGAUGUUACAAUAGGGGAAUUGGUACCGGGAAUUGUUUCUCACACCUACAAGUAAAUGGUCUAUGGAGGAGCUUGGUUAGGAAAGACACAAAUAAUUCAAGCAAAUGUUAGUCGAGAUGUUGAUAAAGUUGAGAAGAUUCACAAAUGGCAAAUAAGACAAAUAGAUCAACCUCCCAAUAUAACACGAGGAACACACACACGAAAGAUAAAUGGGAUCCGCACAACCAAGGAAUGAGCUCGAAGAUAUCUAAACACGGGAAAAGCUCUUGUCGUACGGAUACUAGAGAGACGCUAGCUCGAUUGCACUAAUGGGCUAGAUACGCUAGUGCACCAACCUAAUAGAGAAUCUACUCGUCUCACUAUCCCAAGUAUGCAAAUGUAUGUGGUGACCAAGAUAAUGCACGAAUGCGAGGGCUCGAUGCUAUUGCUUAUAGCUCUUUGCUUCUCUUCUCUUUUGCUUAAAAGCUUUUUAUCUCCUCUUUUUUUUUCACUAUGCCACGAUGCUUGAUAUGCGAGCCACACAACGAGAUAACAAGUAGUAGAUGCACGGGAUGGACGGAACACUAAAUGGUGCACUAAGACGUGGCCCGACAAUACUCAACAAGCUAGUCUCGAUGGGUAAGCUACGCAAAAUGGCUCAAAGCUAUCAAGUUAAUGGCAAGGGAGUACAAAGUGUCGUCGAGGUUACCGUCCUUGCUUACGGUCGAAGAUGAUCUUGUCGAAGUCAAAGUGUUGUCCGAGUCGAUGAUUGGUGGCGAUGAUGUUACCAAGUUGCGCCUAAGUAGCCGAAACACCUUAGGACACAAGAGAAAUCGCAACCAAACACUCAACAAACACGUGGAAUGGUGCGGAAGAACACGAAGGAUGGUGGUGAAACAAAAAUAAGAAAAACAGAACAUGGCCGAAAGUUUCUGGAUGGCCCGUGCGCACGGGGUAAGUGAGGCCCGUGUGCACGGGGUCCCGUGUGCACGGGGUCCCGAUGUCCCGUGUGCACUUCUGUGAUUUCGUGGGGAUUGCAAGUUUUUGGGCAAAUUCCCGUGGGUGAUGGGUGGGGAUGAUGGUGGGGGGGUAGAUCCACUUGCCAAACACCAAAUUCGUGGAUCAAAUCAACCAAAUCUCACAAGAUCAACAAAUUGCAAGAAAAUUUUUUGGGGCUAUUUUUGGUGGGGAUUUUCGGAUUAGGACGAAAAACAACAAAAUCAAGCUAGAAAGUGGAAGGUAGGGACUCCAAGAUGUGAAUCAACGUGGCUCAUGAUACCAUAUGAUGUAGGGUAGAACCCUAGGAAGGACCUUUUCACACUUGGAGGGAAAAAAUGGAGAUAAAUCACAAGAACACAAGGAUGAACACAAAGGGACAAUCACUCCAACAAUUCCCGAUUACACAUCCACUAGAGUAACAACACAAGAUCCACAAGUCUCAAACACAAUCAAAGGAAAGAUACAAUGGCAAAGUUCAUCCCAAAUCCAAAGGAAGAGGGGUCUUGGUGGUAGUCUUCUCCCAAUGGAGGUCUUGAAAUCCUCAAGGAUUCUUCCCUAAUGGGGUCUUGAUCCUCAAAGAGGGAAGGUAAUGGAGCAAAGCUCACCAAGAUAUCAUCCAAUACUUUGCUAACCCUAAACAUGGCCCUAGGUACAAAUUAUAUAGGCUUGGGGUCGAAGGAGACGAAGGGGAGUCGGAGAUCCCAUCUCAGCCGGCCAUCCUGGGAGGCCCGUGCGCACGGGGGUCCCGUGGGCACGGUACAUGCCCGUGCGCACGGGGUGCUCCAGCGCCGGGUUCCUGUGUAGCCCGUGGACACGGGGUCUUUGGGGCCCGUGCGCACGGGGUCACCUGGGACUUGCUGUUUUGCUGCGGUUGCACUCCGUCUUGAUCCUCAUGGCCUUGGGGUGGUUCUCCUUCUCCUUGGGGAUGCUCCUGAGCUCCUUGGUGAUGUUCCACUUCAUACCUAAGGAUGCAUAGCAUAUUUUGGUGAGGUAGUAUACAUGUUCCAUUUGUGUCCAUAUGCAAGUCUAGUAGGAAGGAGUUCACCUCGGUUUCCAAAGCACGUGCUCUAGCUCUUGUCAUGGGUCCUUGUGGGGGUGGAUGUGUUGAUGUAGAGUCCAUGGGGAUGAUGGAAGGAUGCUCCGCAUCAAUGCCUCCGCCUCGUGCACUCGUCCUGGGCACCCCUGCUCGCUGUUAGCGCAGGCCGUUCCGCCGAGUAGCUUUCGGCGUGGACGACAACGACAAAGCGAGGAUGUCAAGCGCUAUCGCAGUCGUACUCGACGAGGCACGAGCGCGCCAGCAGGAUUGAGAUCCUGAUGCCGCAAUGUUG